rnacentral:lncRNA from 1 species
CUAGUAUAAGUCCAUUGAUUGGCAUCUGGUAUCCAUGUUUCUCUUUGUUUUGUGAGAUUGGUGUAAGCCCAUUGAUUGGCAUCCGGUAUCCACUUUGUUUUAGGAGAUUGGUAUAAGUCCAUUGAUUGGCAUCGGUAUCCAUUUACUUUGUUCAUCUAUUAUUUGCUUGUUGCCUAUUCCAAGGGAAUCACUUGAAUCAUCUACAUAUGAUCUCAAGAGGUGAACAUCUAAGAAGUUU